GAUUCACUCUCCUUCUCUAACUUUCUCGAAUCUCCGUGCUCAUUCCACACCUCCACCAUUCCCCCAUCUCCCUAGUGCAUUUGUUGCUCUCGCCGCCGACUCGAGCCGCCCCAGCGUGGCUCAUCCGUCUCCUCUCCACUAGCAGUAGGAUUCGAUGCUCCUCACCAGCGCAACAUGCGUCGGCGAGGCACCCCCUUCGCCGGCUCCUCGCCUGCGCAGCACGCGUUGGUGAGGAAUCGAUUCCACUCGAAGCAGAGGGCGGUCUGGAGAGGGAGAAGCCGGCGGAGGAGGUGAGGAGCUCGAUUGAGUAGGAGGAAGCGAGGCUGCGAGAGAGGCGGAGGAGAAGAGGAAGCAGCGGGGCAGGGUGUGGCGGUGGCAAAAGCUCCGGGAUGCUCGCCAUUGGGCAUUGAUGGCGGCAAGAGCUAGCUAGGCACGGCAAGUCCCGAUGAGGUUCAUCGUCCACGCGAUUCAUAUCCUGCAGGCUGGUCUCAUCGAUUGAUUCUCUCCUCUCGGGCUUCACCAAGGUCAUCGUCGACAUUCUAGCUAAACUAAUCGACCAUACGUGCAGCCCAGCCCGCGGUUCGACAUGGGACUUCGUUUGCUUCGUCUAGCACUUCUGCAUCAUGAGCCUUGUAAAUAUGGCCGCCAUGCUCUUUCUUCCUCUGUCUAGGUCUCCGUCUAAAAAGAAAAAUAGAGCUAUAAACAAAGGAAUAUGUUUGUGCAAGUAGACGGCCGAUCGGUGUCUUACCUGGAAGUUUCUCAGGAUGGGUGUAUCAUAUGUCAUGCUCGCUGUCAAUGGUUGGUAUGAACAAAUUGAUGAGAGGGUGAGAUCUCGCGUUGUCAGCACUCACUUUGGCCUCAAGUUGCUCGAUCAGCUCCUGAUCCGUGGGAUCGAAC